CAAAAAAUCCUUGUUCUGUAUGUGAAUGGAAAAGUUGUGUUUGUCUUUCUGAGAUUUGCUUAUUUCUUUUGACAUAGUGAUUUCCAGUUUUGUCCAUUUUCCUAUAGAGGAAGAUAUUUGAUGACAUCCUGUUGUUGCCCCGUGUCAUGGAGAUUCAGCAGCUUUGGAUCCGCAGGAACAGUCCUAUCACAUGCUCUAGCAGUUCAUAAAUGUGGUAGAUACUGGGGCAUGUAGCCCUGGCUCCUGGAACUCUCAAUAUAGACCAGGCUAUCCUUAAACUUACACAGAGAUUGGGCCCUUCCCCCAGCCUUGAGCAGGCUAGUUCAGACCUUGUUUGCCACAGUCUGCUAGCUCACCUAGGAUGGAGUCUUCUGACCUAGGUGAAGUUUAUUGUCCUGUCACAUCUGCAGUUUCCUGCAAGAAGCCACUACCUGCUGAGCAGCUGAGUUUGUCUUUCUGACAAGAUACUGACAAACUGACAACAACGUUGAGAUACUGGCACAGUAUCCCCCCCCUUUUUUUUUUAAAGAUUUAUUUAUUUAUUAUAUGUACUUCAGACACUCCAGAAGAGGGAGUCAGAUCUUGUUACAGAUGGUUGUAAGCCACCAUGUGGUUGCUGGGAUUUGAACUCCGGACCUUCGGAAGAGCAGUCAGGUGCUCUUACCUGCUGAGCCAUCUCCCCCCUUUAUAUUCAGACCUUAGAAUUAAAACAUUGAGCCUUGAUCAGAGAACUUUGUCUUGGCUUGUUAUUUCUCUUGCUGUCCUUCCCAUCCAUCCCCAGCUUUUCUUUCAGGAACCCAGGAACCCGUGGUGGCUGGCAGCUACAGGUGGCACCCGAAUGAGGGACCUAAAUAUAGAAAGACCAACUGAGGGACACUGUCUUAGUGGAGCACAGAAAAUGGAAGAAGAUGGUAUCCUGCACGGUGGGCUGGAGAGAUGGCUCAGUGGUUAAGAGCACCAACUGCUCUUCCAGAGGUCCUGAGUUCAAUUCCCAGCAACCACCUGGUGCCUCACAACUAUCAGUAAUGAGAUCUGAAGUCCUCUUCUGGUGUGUCUGAAGACAGCUACAGUGUACUUACGCAUAAUAAAUAAUCUUUUAAAAAAAUUCUUUGUUUGAUC
rnacentral:lncRNA from 1 species